UACGUAGGGCGCAAGCGUUGUCCGGAAUCAUUGGGCGUAAAGAGCUCGUAGGCGGCCUGUCGCGUCCGCUGUGAAAUCCCGGGGCUUGAACCCCGGGCGUGCAGUGGAUACGGGCUGGCUGGAGGCAGGCAGGGGAGAACGGGAAUUCCCGGUGUAGCGGUGAAAUGCGCAGAUAUCGGGAGGAACACCGGUGGCGAAGGCGGUUCUCUGGGCCUGUACUGACGCUGAGGAGCGAAAGCGUGGGGAGCAAACAGGA
rnacentral:rRNA from 1 species